AGGCGAUGAUGAAGGACAUGUCUUUGGAGGUCUUUGAACCUCUCCCAAGCUUCAUAAAGUGACUCUCCCUCAUAUUGGUAAAAGUCGAUGAUGUCUUUCGUCAACUU